GGAGUUGUGGCUCAGAGGUAGAGCGCUCGCCUAGCAUGUGAGAGGCGGUUCGAUCCUCAGCACCC
rnacentral:tRNA from 1 species